CAGUUAGGAAUAUUGGACAAUGGGCGAAAGCCUGAUCCAGCCAUGCCGCGUGUGUGAUGAAGGCCCUAGGGUUGUAAAGCACUUUCGUUGGGGAAGAUAAUGACCGUACCCAAAGAAGAAGCACCGGCUAACUUCGUGCCAGCAGCCGCGGUAAUACGAAGGGUGCAAGCGUUGUUCGGAAUCACUGGGCGUAAAGAAUGCGUAGGCGGCUUAACAAGUCAGGAGUGAAAUCCCAGGGCUCAACCCUGGAACUGCUCUUGAAACUGUUUUGCUAGAGUCCCGGAGGGGUUAGCGGAAUUCCGAGUGUAGAGGUGAAAUUCGCAGAUAUUCGGAGGAACACCAGUGGCGAAGGCGGCUAACUGGACGGGAACUGACGCUGAGGCAUGAAAGUGUGGGGAUCAAACAGGAUUAGA
rnacentral:rRNA from 1 species